rnacentral:rRNA from 1 species
UACGUAGGGUGCAAGCGUUAAUCGGAAUUACUGGGCGUAAAGCGUGCGCAGGCGGUUUUGUAAGUCUGACGUGAAAUCUCCGGGCUCAACCUGGGAAUUGCGUUGGAGACUGCAAGGCUAGAAUCUGGCAGAGGGGGGUAGAAUUCCACGUGUAGCAGUGAAAUGCGUAGAGAUGUGGAGGAACACCGAUGGCGAAGGCAGCCCCCUGGGUCAAGAUUGACGCUCAUGCACGAAAGCGUGGGGAGCAAACAGG